rnacentral:rRNA from 1 species
GGUUCGAUCCCGGGCUCAGAUUGAACGCUGGCGGGAUGCUUUACACAUGCAAGUCGAACGGCAGCACGGACUUCGGUCUGGUGGCGAGUGGCGAACGGUGAGUAAUGUAUCGGAACGUGCCGGGAAGGGAUAUCACGCGAAAGGUAGCUAAUACCGCAUACGCCCUUCGGGGGAAAGCGGGGGACCUUUCGGGCCUCGCAGAAUUAUUAGAGCGGCCGAUAUCGGAUUAGCUGUAGUUGGGGCAACGGCUCACCAAGGCGACUGAUCCGUAGUUAUUUAGAGGACGACCAGCCACACUGGGACUGAGACAUGGCCCAGACUCCUACGGAGGCAGCAGUGGGGAAUUUUGGACAAUGGGGAAACCCUGAUUCAGCCAUCCCGGGCGUGUGCGAUGAAGGCCUUCGGGUUGUAAAGCACUUUUGGUAGGGAAAAGAAACGGCACGGGAUAAUACCCCGUGCAACUGACGGUACCUGCAGAAUAAGCACCGGCUAACUACGUGCCAGCAGCCGUAAUACGUAGGGUGCAAGCGUUAAUCGGAGAAUGCAUGGGCGGGAGUGUAUACAGGUGGUUCUGAAAGGAAAAUAGAUGUGAAAUCCCAGAGCUUAACUUUGGAACUGCAUUUUUAACUACCGAGCUAGAGUGUGUCAGAGGGAGGUGGAAUUCGCGUGUAGCAGUGAAAUGCGGAUAAGGUGAGGAACACCGAUGGCGAAGGCAGCCUCCUGGGAUAACACUGACGCUCAUGCACGAAAAGGUGGGAGCAAACAGGACGAUACCUCUGGUAGUCCACGCCCUAAACGAUGUCAACGUAGCUGUUGGGGCCUUCGGGCUUCCGGUAGCGCAUGUAAUGCGGUGAAGUGACCGCCUGGGGAGUACGGUCAAAGAUUAAACCCAAAGGAAUGAUUGGGGACCUGCACAAGCGGUGGGAUGAUGGGAUUAAUCUGAUGCAAUGCGAAAAACCUUGACUACCCUUGACAUGUCUGGAAUCCCGAAGAGAUUUAAGAGUGUCCUGCAAGAGAACUGGAACACAGGUGCUGCAGCAGGGUUGCCGUCAGUCAGCUGAUGGCAGUUAGUCCCGCAACGAGCGCAACCCUUGUCAUUAGUUACAUGAAAGGGCACUCUUAAUGAGACUGCCGGUGACAACCGGAGGAAGGUGGGGAUGAAGCGUCAAGUCCUGGCGGCCCUUAAGGGUAGGGCUUCACACGUCAUACAAUGGUCGGGACAGAGGGUCGCCAACCCGCGAGGGGGGAGCCAAUCCCAGAAACCCGAUCGUAGUCCGGAUCGCAGUCUGAAACCUGACUGCGUGAAGUCGGAAUGCUAGUAAUCGCGGAUCAGCAUGUCGCGGUGAAUACGUUCCCGGGUCUUGUACACACCCCGCCCGGGCUUCACCGGUGGAGUGGGUUUUACCAGAAGUAGUUAGCCUAACCGUAAGGAGGGCGAUUACCACGGUAGACCGCGACUGUAGUGAAGUCGUAACAAGGUAG